UGUGGUGUAGGUUGCAGACAUGGCUCAGAUCUGGCACUGCUGUGGCUGUGGCGUAGGCCAGCCAGUGGCUACAGCUCCGAUUCGACCCCUAGCCUGGGAACCUCAAUAUGCCACGGGAGCAGCCUAAAGAAAUAGCAAAAAGACAAAAAAAAAAAAAAUAGACACAUGCACCCACAUGUUCAUUGCGGCACUAUUCACAAUAGCCAAGACAUGGAAAAAACCUAAAUGUCCAUCGACAGAUGAUUGGAUUAAGAAGAUGUGAUAUAUAUGCACAAUGGAAUACUACUCCAUCAUAAAAAAGAACAAAAUAAUGCUAUUUGCAGCAACAUGGAUGGAACUAGAGACUCUCAUAUUGAGUGAAGUUAAGUCAGAAAGAGAAAGACAAGUACCAUAGGAUGUCACUUAUAUCUGGAAUCUAAUAUUUGGCACAAAUGAAUCUUUCCACAGAAAAGAAAAUCAUGGACUUGGAGUAUAGACUUGUGGUUGCCAAGGGGUAGAGGGAGGGAGUGAGAAGGACAGGUAAUUUGGGGUUAAUAGAUGCAGACAAUUGCCUUUGGAAUGGAUUAGCAAUGAGAUCCUGCUGUGUAGCACUUGGAACUAUGUGUAGUCACUUAUGAUGGAGCAUGAUAAUGUGCGGAAAAAGAAUGUAUACAUGUAUGUGAUGUGUGACUGUGUCACCUUGCUGUACAGUAGAAAACUGCGAACAUUGCAAACCAGCUAUAAUGGAAAAAAAAUCAUUACAAAAUUUUUUUAAAAAGGAUUUGUUCAGAGUAACAAAUGCCUUUAUAAAGCCCAAGUUAACAAACUUCUUCAUACACAUCAAUAGACAUUGUUGGACUACUGGAUUCAAGAUUCUAUGGGUCAAAGUGAGCCAAACUCCAGCACUCUUCUUGUGCCUCAACCAUUCUCUGUUGGAUAUGUUUUCUGAACAUGUUACCCAUUUCAUUAGCUUGAGCCCAGAGCCCAAUAUCAGUAUGUAUAGUCUGGUCCCAUCUCAAUAGGCAGUAGCCAGACAGCAUGCUACUGUGGGAAGAAACAAAGUCCAAGACAGAAAGUAAAGAGGAAACAGGAGCCAAAGCCUAGACUGGCUCUUAUGCCUCCAAACUGACAAUCCCAAAUGGAAAUACCAAUGAAGACAUAUUGAAAUUUCACUCGAGAAUAACUAUUCACUAAAGUUUGAAAUUGUUAGAUUACAAACAGGAGACAAAAUUAAGAAAUGUUAGAAAAUAAUCUCUUUUUUUAAUCAGAAAGUGCUUAGCAGCAAAUGAAUAAAAUUCUUAAGUAUGCGCUUAGAUCUGACAGUGCUGAGAACCUGACAUCAUGUUCAGACCCUUAACUUCACAAAAGGAGGAAAGUGAGGUUCAGGGAGAUUUCCCUUAUCCUGAGGUCUUUGAGAUAAUGUCAAAAUGGGAUUCCCAAUUCAAACUAGAGUGUACUCUUCUUUCUGUUCACCUCAAAUAAUUCACUAAUUAUGCAUAAUUUACUCCAACUACUUAAACAAUGAAGAACCAUAUUAUGUAACAGGUUCCCAGACAGAGAAGAUUCCAGGUACCCUGUGAUGGUCAGCAACUCAGUGAUGUCAUCAAAGGCCCAGGUUCUUCCCAUCUCACUGCUUUGCUUUCCUAGGUUCAAAUUCCUCCUAAGUCUGAUUCCCUUCAGUUUCCAGACAGCAUUGCUUGCUACUGAAAGUUGUGCAUUUAUGUGCUAAUAUUGGUUAUGGGAGGUAGGGAAAAAAUAUAAAUCCUUCCAACUUGCAAAACUUAGAUCUUAUGCUCACUCCUGAUCCUUUCAAGUUGGAGAUGGGGUGGAUAUUUGAAUAGACCUGAAGUUCUGUUAUUCAUAUGUAAUUUAGAAUUAGGUAACAGAUUUAGCUUGACUACGAAGUACCUGCCUCAGUCAUCAUUCAAAGCAAUGUGAUUUACAGUGAGAUUCUGCUGUGUAGCACUGAGAACUAUGUCUAGAUAUUUACAACGCAGCACGACAAUGGGAGAAAAAAUUAUGUAUACAUGUAUGUGUAACUGCGUCCCCAUGCUGUACAGUGGGGAAAAAAAAAGUGUGUGGGAGGAAAUAAAAAUAAAAAAUAAAUUUAAAAAAAAGCAAUGUGCAAGAAGCCAGAAAUCCAAGCUGUCCUAGGUCAACUUAAAUGCUCCCAAUGCUAACUCACCACUCCCCAAUACUUCCCCAACCAAACUUCAAAAGUAAUAGAAAAAAUGAGGCAAGAGAGAAAUUGGCAUAAGUUAUUGUACCUUGUUUUCAGGCAAUUUCUGGUCCUGUUUGGCAGAGCUCCUUCUUCAGUUAUUUUGGUGGCACAAGAAAGAUUCAGUGGUGGACCCACUGAAUCCAGCAUUUGAGGUUUAUGUAAAUCAGUGUUGCACAUUAGAAUAAGGAAGUUUGCAUACCCCAGCAACCUAAUUAAAUUGGACUUUCUGGGGGUAGAACCCAGGCAUAGGUACUUUUUUAAAGCUUCCUAAGUGAUUCUAACACGCAGCCAGGGUUGAGAAUCACUAGUGUUACUAAGUAGGCUGAUUGCCUGAAUUUCUCCAUUAAUAUCCCUGAGUUGCCUAGUUAUGGCCCAAGACUUUGAAUUCGGUUUAUUUGCAAUUUUCCCAGGUGACUUAAAGCAUAAUCCAUUUAAAUAAAACAUCAUCUGUGGUAUGAUAAUAACUACAACUUGAGGUAAGGACAUUGUGUCAGCUUCCUUUUAGAGAAUGCUGCUCAAUCAAUGGAUGAAUGUCUGAACCAAAAUAUCAUACAGGCAUGAGGGAUUUUAUAUUGCUUUCUAUUUCUGGGUGUUGUAUAUAAUAUAUAUUGGCAACAUUUCAUUUUUAUAUUGUAAUGGGAUCUCCAUAGGCUUAUACUGAAAUUGGUUUUCUGCUGUAAUCUCACAUUUUAACAGCCUCUAUAGACCUGCUCAGAAACUUACUCAAAUUGUUGUGAAGAAUAUUUGGCAUCAUAAUUUAUAUUUUUAAAUUAUACAAAUGUCUCUCUUCUCCUUCCCAAUCCAACCACAGGAUAUACUGAAGUACCAUUACAACUGCAAUGGGAAGUAAAUACUUGACAUGUUCUGUAAUUAUUUUACAAAACCUAGAAACUAUUUCUCCUCUCAACUGCAGAGUUAUCCUCAGAUUUUUAAUAGGAUUCUUGACAUCCAUUUCAAAUGAUGGGAAAAGUGGUUGUUUUAUCUUAUUUUAUUUGAAUAAAUGUUAUAUUAAAAUUAAUAUUACAAACAACGGACCUGUUGAAAGCCCCUAGAGGAUUGGGUAGAUGGCCCUUCUUAGACUUGUCUCAUUCGGGUUGCCUUCCAGGUCAGCCAGGCCACUCUUCUUCUCAAAUACCCCCCUUAACCACCUCCAAAGUAACAGGAUUAAACACACCUCCUUUGUGGUGAAAUUAUCAUUAUCAGCCUAUAAUACUCAUAAGGGAGGUGGCUGCCUUCUCCUGCCUUACCCUUCUCCUAGUCAUCAUCUCUGUGCAAUCUCUCCAAGCGGUUGGACUCACCUUCCUGAUCACUCAUCUCUGGGGCUCUGCAGAGGUCCAAAUUGAAAUGCGCCACUUCCUAUCUCUAGGUUAUUUAUACAACUUCACGUCUAUAAAUUUCCACUUCUUGAUCAGUAAAAUGCAAAUGUUACCUCUUAGCCUCCUUGGGAGGAUUCCAUGAGAUAGUCC
ensembl:lncRNA